GACGAACGCUGGCGGCGUGCUUAACACAUGCAAGUCGAACGGAAAGGCCCUGCUUUUGUGGGGUGCUCGAGUGGCGAACGGGUGAGCAACACGUGAGUAACCUGCCCUUGACUUUGGGAUAACUUCAGGAAACUGGGGCUAAUACCGGAUAGGAGCUCCAGCUGCAUGGUGGGGGUUGGAAAGUUUCGGCGGUUGGGGAUGGACUCGCGGCUUAUCAGCUUGUUGGUGGGGUAGUGGCUUACCAAGGCUUUGACGGGUAGCCGGCCUGAGAGGGUGACCGGCCACAUUGGGACUGAGAUACGGCCCAGACUCCUACGGGAGGCAGCAGUGGGGAAUAUUGCACAAUGGGCGGAAGCCUGAUGCAGCAACGCCGCGUGCGGGAUGACGGCCUUCGGGUUGUAAACCGCUUUCGCCUGUGACGAAGCGUGAGUGACGGUAAUGGGUAAAGAAGCACCGGCUAACUACGUG
rnacentral:rRNA from 1 species